rnacentral:tRNA from 1 species
GGUACAGCUCAGUGGUAGAGCAUUUGACUGCAGAUCAAGAGGUCCCCAGUUCAAAUCUGGGUGCACCA